AAGUCGUAACAAGGUUUCCGUAGGUGAACCUGCGGAAGGAUCAUUACCGAGUUCUCGGGCUUCGGCUCGAAUCUCCCACCCUUUGUGAACAUACCUCUGUUGCUUUGGCGGCUCUUUGCCGCGAGGAGGCCCUCGCGGGCCCCCCCGCGCGCUUUCCGCCAGAGGACCUUCAAACUCCAGUCAGUAAACGUCGACGUCUGAUAAACAAGUUAAUAAGCUAAAA
rnacentral:misc_RNA from 1 species